UGCCUACGGGGGGCAGCAGUGGGGAAUAUUGCACAAUGGGGGAAACCCUGAUGCAGCGACGCCGCGUGAAGGGAGAAGUAUUUCGGUAUGUAAACUUCUAUCAGCAGGGAAGAAAAUGACGGUACCUGACUAAGAAGCCCCGGCUAACUACGUGCCAGCAGCCGCGGUAAUACGUAGGGGGCAAGCGUUAUCCGGAUUUACUGGGUGUAAAGGGAGCGUAGGCGGUUUAGCAAGUCAGAAGUGAAACGCAUGAGCUCAACUCAUGCAUGGCUUUGGAAACUGGAGGACUGGAGAGCAGGAGAGGG
rnacentral:rRNA from 1 species